rnacentral:tRNA from 1 species
AGCAUGAAACGGUACGUAAUGAUAUGUGACGGUGCGCAACAAGGCAACUUCUCAUCCGACGGUCGCAGGUUCGAAUCCUGCCGGGUACACCA